UACGGAGGGUGCAAGCGUUAUCCGGAUUUACUGGGUUUAAAGGGUGCGCAGGCGGAUAUGUAAGUCAGUGGUGAAAUCUCUAGGCUUAACCUGGAAAUUGCCGUUGAUACUAUAUAUCUUGAAUGUUGUGGAGGUAAGCAGAAUAUGUCAUGUAGCGGUGAAAUGCUUAGAUAUGACAUAGAAUACCUAUUGCGAAGGCAGCUUACUACGCAGAUAUUGACGCUCAUGCACGAAAGCGUGGGGAUCAAACAGGAAUUAGAUUACCCG
rnacentral:rRNA from 1 species